CUCAUCCCAGACAGAUAUACAAAAGAGUGAAACUUAAAAUGUGCAUUAAACUAUAAUAUUGAUUAAAGUCACACGCAAAAAGAUGAAGAGUCAAUUUUAAAUAUGGAAUGUUGUUUAGUCCUGAUGGCUAAUAUGGUCAAACAGGUUGUUGUUGUUUAGUCCUGAUGGCUAAUAUGGUCAAACAGGUUGAUGUUGUUGUUUAGUCCUGAUGGCUAAUAUGGUCAAACAGGUUGUUGUUGUUUAGUCCUGAUGGCUAAUAUGGUCAAACAGGUUGUUGUUUAGUCCUGAUGGCUAAUAUGGUCAAACAGGUUGUUGUUGUUUAGUCCUGAUGGCUAAUAUGGUCAAACAGGUUGUUGUUUAGUCCUGAUGGCUAAUAUGGUCAAACAGGUUGUUGUUGUUUAGUCCUGAUGGCUAAUAUGGUCAAACAGGUUGUUGUUGUUUAGUCCUGAUGGCUAAUAUGGUCAAACAGGAUGUUGUUGUUUAGUCCUGAUGGCUAAUAUGGUCAAACAGGUUGUUGUUGUUUAGUCCUGAUGGCUAAUAUGGUCAAACAGGUUGUUGUUGUUUAGUCCUGAUGGCUAAUAUGGUCAAACAGGUUGUUGUUGUUUAGUCCUGAUGGCUAAUAUGGUCAAACAGGUUGUUGUUGUUUAGUCCUGAUGGCUAAUAUGGUCAAACAGGUUGUUGUUGUUUAGUCCUGAUGGCUAAUAUGGUCAAACAGGUUGUUGUUGUUUAGUCCUGAUGGCUAAUAUGGUCAAACAGGUUGUUGUUGUUUAGUCCUGAUGGCUAAUAUGGUCAAACAGGUUGUUG